rnacentral:rRNA from 1 species
CCUACGGGUGGCUGCAGUAGGGAAUAUUGGGCAAUGGCCGAGAGGCUGACCCAGCCAUGCCGCGUGCCGGACGAAGGCCCUUCGGGUCGUAAACGGCUUUUAUCAGGGAAGAACAUCUCGCUUGCGAGCGAGACUGACGGUACUUGAGGAAUCAGCACCGGCUAACUCCGUGCCAGCAGCCGCGGUAAUACGGAGGGUGCAAGCGUUGUCCGGAUUUAUUGGGUUUAAAGGGUGCGCAGGUGGCUUUUUAAGUCUGGUUUGAAAGCAGGCGGCUC